GACGAACGCUGGCGGCGUGCUUAACACAUGCAAGUCGAACGCUGAAGACCUGGCUUUUGUUGGGUUGGAUGAGUGGCGAACGGGUGAGUAACACGUGAGUAACCUGCCCUCUUCUUUGGGAUAACGCCCGGAAACGGGUGCUAAUACUGGAUAUUCACUGAUCUUCGCAUGGGUGUUGGUGGAAAGGUUUGUUCUGGUGGGUGAUGGGCUCGCGGCCUAUCAGCUUGUUGGUGGGGUGAUGGCCUACCAAGGCUUUGACGGGUAGCCGGCCUGAGAGGGUGACCGGUCACAUUGGGACUGAGAUACGGCCCAGACGCCUACGGGAGGCAGCAGUGGGGAAUAUAGCACAAUGGGCGAAAGCCUGAUGCAGCGACGCCGCGUGAGGGAUGGAGGCCUUCGGGUUGUAAACCUCUUUCGCUCAUGGUCAAGCCGCAACUGUGGGUUGUGGUGAGGGUAGUGGGUAAAGAAGCGCCGGCUAACUACGUG
rnacentral:rRNA from 1 species